rnacentral:rRNA from 1 species
AACGAACGCUGGCGGCGUGCUUAACACAUGCAAGUCGGACGAGAAGUACGUAGCAAUACGUAUUGUAAAGUGGCGCACGGGUGAGUAACACGUGGGUAAUCUGCCCUCGAGUUUGGGAUAACCCCGCGAAAGCGGGGCUAAUACCGAAUAAGACCACGGGAACCAAAGUUCCUGAGGUAAAAGAUGGCCUCUAUUUAUAAGCUAUCCCUUGAGGAUGAGCCCGCGGCCCAUUAGCUAGUUGGUAGGGUAACGGCCUACCAAGGCUAUGAUGGGUAGCUGGUCUGAGAGGACGAUCGGCCACACUGGAACUGAGACACGGUCCAGACUCCUACGGGAGGCAGCAGUGGGGAAUAUUGCGCAAUGGGCGAAAGCCUGACGCAGCAACGCCGCGUGGGGGAUGAAGGUUUUCGGAUUGUAAACCCCUUUCGACCGGAACGAAUCUCCUCCUGGUAAACAAUCAGGAGGAUCGACGGUACCGGGAGAAGAAGCCACGGCUAACUCUGUGCCAGCCGCCGCCGUAAAAC